GCUUCUAUUCAUAGGCCCAUAUACUUGGCGUUCAGGCCUGUAUUAAUGAUCUAUUCUACCCAAAGUGCUUUAAACUAGAAUAGCUUAAAUAUUGUGCCAAAUAUGAAAACUGGAGAGAUGCAUAUGAGGAAAGUGUAUCGUGAGGAACGGUUUGAUAUUCAAAUCUUUCCGAAAACUUUUCCUUCGUGAAGAAACUUCUGCUCUUCUUCCUUCCCAAAUCGACUGGCAAGUUGGCAACCAUCUUCAUCCUUCUUCGUAGUGUUUGGUGAGAGAGGAUGGCUAGAUAGGAAGAGUUUUGGCCAUCGUAUAUCGGAGAGACCACCGCCUCACCGCCUCCCCUACUCAUUCUCGCCGGAUAAUGCAGGAACCGGCGGACCACCCUAUGACGGCAGCCUUCUCGGCGGAUCACUUUUCAGUUAGCCAGAAAAAAAAAAGAACAUUGGAAAACAAACCUCAAUCCGUUGGAGCUUCAAGAAAAAGUGUGAAGAAACAGUUGAAGGGUUAACACUAACACCUCUUAUUUAGAAUGUUAGCCCUAUUUAAUUGGGGAUUUUUAUUUAAAUUCACUUCAUUUUCCAUCUUUAUGACUGAAAUUUGGAUUUGGAUUAUUUUUAUAAACUAUUUCCAUUUCUUUUAUAUCUAAAUAUUUGUUACUUGAAUUACUUGUACAAAUAUACAAUACAUAAUCCAAAUUUAUUCUAUUUAAUAAUUA